GUGUGGGCAGCUUGAAACACACGAGGCAGCAAAUCCGAACAGGCAAAGGCCUCACUCUCCAGUGCAGUCUGGGAGGACUGAUCAGGGAAGAACAGAUCAGGGUGAAGAACAGAAAGACCCCAAGGCAUCUCCCCAAGAUGACCACAGUUGUCCCUGAAGAAGCAGUCACAGCAAGCUCACUUCACAGGAACCAAGCUGUGGGCUGAUCCUACAGACUUGAAAAGACAACUCAAAAAGAUUGUCUGUGGGGUCAGAAACAGCUCUGGAGGGGUCUGCAGAAAUUACUUUCCCAAGUCUUUGGGCUGGAAGGAACGAACAGUGCCUGACCAAGGACUUUGAGCAGGAGAGAGAUGGGAGCAGAGAGGAGCCAAGGUCUACUAUUUUCACUUCUGUCAAUUAGAUCAAAGCCCUGCCCAGAAGCUUUGAGCGCCGCUGUCAAGUCCCAUUCCUCCCCUAAACCAUCCAGGUUCCAUCUGCCUUGAAGCCAAAGGAUCUUCUUAGAUUCCUCAAGAAAAAUUCAGGCCCCGAGUUUCUCCACCAGCACUCUCCUCUCCCCGAAGGAGUGGGUGGGCUGCAUUUCUCUUCAUAUUCUAUUCCAUUCCAGACCGUCUUGGACUACCAGCCUGUCCGCCACCCCUCGGGGCCCUCCCUCCUACUCUGCCCUUGCCCGCUGAGGUCCCAAGCUGAGGAGAUGAGCCGAGCAGUAAAAAGAGAGGAGGUUUGGAAAAGCAAUGUCCUCUCAGUCUUUAAUAGGUGGCCCCCCUGGGAACCUGCUGGAAGUGGAAGUUAAUAAGCUGAAGGUGGUCACAACCAAUCUCUGCCACACUCGCACCCUACCCCACCCCAAAUCAUUCCUUUUAAUUAAUAGUGGAAGACCUUUUUAAAAAUGUAACAUGAAUUGGCUAUUUCUUGAGGCAAACAAAAGGUGGCUCUGAAGCGAUAUAUUUGUACUCGUAUAAAUUCAUUAAAAUAGAAAGCUUAUAACCAUCCAGGUUUCACUGACAGCCCCAGUCCAUCUACAUGCAGAAAUGGUCCCUCCAAAGCCCUCUACGACAAUUAUUCUCACAGAUCGUCAUGAUAAACUGUAAGGGAAUAUACUAAGAAAGAGGGAAGAAGAGAGGAGGAGUCCAUUUUUAAUUAGUGGUUGGAAAUAGAGUAAAAAUUAGAGGGCCUUAGGUUUAAAACACAGAUGUGCAUUGUGAUCGUCUGAAGGAAGAGCUGUUGACAGAGAAAACAAGGUGGUGAACUAUGCCCUUGGCCUGUGACAGUUAGGUGAGGGUUGCUCACCGCAGAAGACAGACCGGUAGAGCCCAGCAGGAAAGAGGGUAUCAGGCUGGAAGAAGUGCAGUUUGGCCCUGGCGGAGUGGUGGAGUGGCUGGAGCGACUGCAGGAGGAGGAUAGAUCUGGAAGCAGGUCUGGGCUAUACUUUGGCCUCAGCCAGGGAGCCAGAGAAGGAAGGCUUGGGUUCGAGGGGGGAAAUCAUUCUCCCAAAUUGCUUUCUCAGAAGCGCCAAUUCAGAUCACCUGAAGACAGGGUCUGGGCCCCAUUACAGCAUGGUUCCCAAAUGGGAGUGUGCUUGGAAGCCUUGGUGAUUAAAGGGUGCUGACUAAAAGAGUCAAACUCUGUAAAAUAUUUGAAGAGAUUUAUUCUGAGCCAAAUAUGAGUGACCAUGGCCCAUGACACAGCCCUCAGGAGACCCUGAGAACAUGUGUUCAAGGUGGUCGGGGUACAGCUUGGUUUUAUAUGUUUUAGGAAGGCAUGAGACUCAAUCAAAGACAUUUUAAAAAUACAUUGGUUUGGUUCAGAAAGGUGAGACAACUCAAAGUGGGGGCUUCCAGGCUAUAGGUAAAUUUAAACAUUUUCUGACUGACAAUUGGUUGGGUUUAUCUGGAGACCUGGGAUUAAUGGAAAGGAAGGUUCAUGUUAAGAUACAGAACUGUGGGGACCAAGUUUUAUUGUGCAGAGGAAUCUCUCAGAUAGCAGACUUCAGAGAGAGAGAGAGCAGGUUGUAAAAUGUUUCUUAUCGGACCUAAAAGGGUACCUGGCUCUUAGUUGAUUAUCUCCUGGAUCUGGGAAGGAAGGAAGGAAAACAAAGGGGAAAGGAAAUAUUUCCUAUAGAAUAUGGAUUUUUCCCACAAGAGACUUUGCAGGACAAUUUCGAGAUAUGGCAAGGAGAUUUAUUUUGGGGUAAAACAUUUUGAUUUUCUUCCUUGUUAUGCCACAGUCAGAUUGGAAAGUCAGUCAUGAUAUACAGGGUCAGAUAAAAUCCGUCUGAUGAGAAUGUAUGGUUGGUAGGGCAUGACUCCCCAGACCCCUUAGAUAGGAAUCUGGGCAAGAUAAAAAAUCGGAGCUUAGUCCUCAAGGGAAGGGGCAGCAGCGCUGUUGGCGGGCUCACCAAGCAUCAGUACUGGAUCACCAGGCUUGGGAGAGUAGGGGUGUCAAGGCCCCAAGAGCAGGGAGGGCCUUGGCCCCACUAGGGGGGCAUCAGAAAGCAGGGAGCACUUGUAGUUCACCAUGAUUCCCCUCAAAGCCCUGGGCCAGCCUCCUGCAGGGAAGGCGGGCAGGAAGUCUUCCCCAUAGGGGCAGGCUUGCUUUUUUGGCCAGCCAUCCUCUUCAUAUGAAAAACAGCAUCUUGUCAUUUCUAGAUGUUUCUACUUUGGUUGACUCUUUAAUUUUUCUGCAGUUAAAAGCCUUAAAACAGCAAGGAAGCAGGGGACAGGAGGGGAGCCCAGAUCUCUCCCAAAGAAAAGGAGAAAGACUGAAUCCUUGAGGCCUGCCGUACAAAGGAGUGGUGGGUUGGAGGAGGGUAGGCAGAGACUAGGGUGGUCUGGGACUUUAAGUACAAGGCCCCGUGGAUUUCAUUGGGGGGCAAGCCAUGUGCAACAGGGAAGCUCAGGAACCGGGGGGUUUCGCACAGAGGUCUGGUGCUGUGAGGUACAGGGAAAGAAUUAGUGGAUCUGGACCAGUGGAACAUUGGUUUAGUGUAAUCUCUGAUUUGUGUUGAGUGAAUUUGAGUAUAGUCCAACCACCACCCCCCUACCCCAACUAAACCAUGUGCCCCUCAGGAGCUGGGACUCUUCUAUUUUCUAUUCCUUAUAGCAGGCUCAGUGCCUGACACACUACGUUGAAUUUUAUUUUAAACAUUUCAUUUACAUUAAAUGGUAUAUUUGCAAGUUCAUUCUUCCAGACCUCAGUUUAUUCUUUUAUCUAGUCAUUUUAAAGGGAUUCUCUCAGACCCUCCACUAGCUAAGAGAACCGAACUUUUCUUCCAGAAUUGUCAGGAAAUGGGACUUACUGACUUAGUGAGCUACUUAUUUUAUCUAGAAUUAACUGUGUCUAAUAAAAUAUAUAUGCACUUUGGGAAUGGAUGAGGUGCUACACAAAUGAAAGAUGGUAUUAUUCAUCAUACAGUGUUUUUGAUUAUAAUAGAUUAUUCUCUGCCAAAACCCAGAAGGGCCAAGUCGAGGUAGGUUGCUGAAAGGGGAGGAAGUCUAAAUAGCAGAAUCAGACUUUUCCAUAAGUUUGCAGUGGCGUAUGGACAACACUCAGGCAACCAGCCCUCGGCACAGCAACAGGGGACCCACCUCCUAAGUUGGGGCUGAGUAAAGACAUAUUCCCGGGGCAAGGCUUUGCCAAGGCAGGCCUCUUCUGAAACAUAAGUCCCAUCUUUCUCCCGGCCCCGCCACCCCACCUCAGAUGUGCUGUCUAGAAGCUGCACAUCUGGGGCCGUUCAAACUCCUGGCUCGAAUCACUGGAAUCAUCUGAGCAGGAUAAUUUUACAUUAAUGAUUAAAAAUUGCUCUUCUAGAUAUAGCCUUGCCUCAGGGUAGCCAUUAAGAACAUUACUUCGUAAUUUAAGAAGCUCAAUGUAGGGCGCUUUGGGCAUUUGCAAAGAGGGAACUGUACUCAUAUCUUGAUAAAUUGCAAAAUGUCUCCCACCAUCUUCUUGUUCUGUAUCUCCUCUUCUGCCUUCUGCCAUUGCACUCUCUGGCAUAUAAUCCUUUUAAAGAAUAAGAACAAAAACAAAAAAAAAAGGAAGAUAAUGAAAAGCCUAUUGUUUCUUAGUGUCCGCUGAUGUUAAACACGCACACGCAUGCACAAUUAUGAAUUUUGUGUAUUUCUUCCGGGGGAUGGAGCCAUAAAGGGUUACACUUUGGUAUGUGAUUUUGGAGCCUACACUUGAAAUGGGAAUUUGAAUGUAGUUGAACAGACUUUUAACAUUGCCCCGAGAAGAAUGAUACUGGCAUUUGCUUGUCUGCGGUGUCACACCCCGGAGUGUGGAGGAUCCUCACCGGCUCUGUGACUCACCCUGGAAGUUGCACCUUUCUCGGGGGGCAGGGUGGGGAGUUACUUUUUAUAAGUAAACCCCAGAGAGCAGUGUUUCCGUAUCAAUCAGUUUCUCAACAAGUUUGAGAGCAGAUUGUGCCUCAAUCCCUAUCGUUGGGGAUGCUCUCCAAGCUCUCCGGGGUGCCGCCAAGCCAGGAUCUCCCAUUCUGAUGCAUCCUGGGUCUCCUCUUCCCUUGCCCCUCUUCCUUGUUCUCCACUCUGAGCCAGCUAGACAGGUGAAGCAGAGAACCUGUCUAGUCCAAACUCCUUAUUUUACAGAUCAGGAGCGUGAGGCCCAGAGAGGGAUUGCCCUUACCCCAUCCUGCAUCCCCUCUCCUCCUCUUCUGCCUUCACCCCAAUACCUUCCAGCGUGAAUGAUGCCCACCCUGUCUCUCUUCUAGCCCCGCAUCCUGCAUUACUCUUUUCACAAUAUUUUUGAGUAAGUGGCCUGCUGCAAUCUUAUAUUUGGCAUGGCAAAGGCAGACCCCUUUCCCUCCCUCCAGACCCCCAGCUCAGCCACUGUGAGUGCUGUAAGGCCAGUCCCCACCUGUGUCCUUCUAUUCAUCACAAACUAAGCACAUGCUACUUUAUCUUUUAUCUCCUCGUGUCCACAAAACAGGCCACAACCAAGGUCAUGCUGCCAAACAGAUCUGGGAGAAUGGUAAUUGACAAUUCACGCUAAAAAUUGUGUUGAACAAAAAUUCUCUUCUAUUAGAAAAAUGACAGGAGAGACAACUUUGCCAUUAUGUUGCUUUCUCCUCAAUCGGGACACACAAAAAAUCUCAAUAAAAAUGUUAUAUCAAAGGCUCGCAAACAUCAUUCAAAUCUUCCCUAACCCAUUGCUUUCAUUUGAAAAACGAGCAUUUCAUUAAAGACACUUGACAGGAUGUUAAUUUGUUGUGGGAAUCUGUCAGUGUCCAAACAAAUACUUGCAUGUUUUGUGCAGAUGAGGUAACCGCUUGUAGAAUGGCAAAACCAGAAGGCAUUUGGGUGACCUGCUUUGGCCUUUUGACUUUACAG
rnacentral:lncRNA from 10 species